rnacentral:rRNA from 1 species
GACGGAGGAUGCAAGCGUUAUCCGGAAUUAUUGGGCGUAAAGCGUAUGUAGGUGGCUUGCCAAGUCCUUUGUUAAAGCGUGGAGCUCAACUCCAUAAAGGCGAGGGAAACUGGUAGGCUAGAGUACAGUAGGGGUAGGAGGAAUUCCCGGUGUAGCGGUGAAAUGCGUAGAUAUCGGGAAGAACACCAGUGGCGAAAGCGUCCUACCAAGCUGUAACUGACACUGAGGUACGAAAGCUAGGGGAGCGAAUGGGAUUAGAUACCCCCGUAGUCC